AACUUUACAAUGCCGGCAACGGCGAUAAGGGGACCUCGAGUGCCAGGUUACAAAUCUGGCUGCCGUGAUGCCUAAAAAGCAUUGCAUAGCAAGGGCCGGGCAAGACCGGUGCCAGCCGCCGCGGUAACACCGGCGGCUCGAGUGGUAACCGUUAUUAUUGGGUCUAAAGGGUCUGUAGCCGGCCGGAUAAGUCUCUUGAGAAAUCUGGCAGCUUAACUGUCAGGCUUUCAGGAGAUACUGUCUGGCUCGAGGCCGGGAGAGGUGAGAGGUACUUCAGGGGUAGGGGUGAAAUCUUGUAAUCCUUGAAGGACCACCAGUGGCGAAGGCGUCUCACCAGAACGGACCUGACGGCAAGGGACGAAAGCUAGGGGCACGAACCGGAUUAGAUACCCGGGUAGUCCUAGCCGUAAACGAUACUCGCUAGGUGUCGGCCACGGUGCGACCGUUGUCGGUGCCGUAGGGAAGCCGUGAAGCGAGC
rnacentral:rRNA from 1 species